CAGCAGGAGUGGGCAAUGGGGGACCAAAGCGGGGAAGGAGCCCAGGUUUCCCCUUGGAGGAACAGCAGCAGCACGAGAGCUCCGCUGCCCAAAGGGCGGAGGACGGGGCGGCUGAGGGUGAGGAGGCCGAGGCGGGGCUGUUGGAGGCCGAUGCGGCGCGGAGCAGCGGUGCUGUGGGCGGCGCGGUGAUGGAGCGCCAGCGCAGCCUUCGUGAUGAAGACCCGAGCGCUGCUUUCCUGACCUCUCAAGAAGAAGCUGCUACCAAAAUCCAGGCCGCGUUCCGGGGCUACUGCACGCGGAGGGGGCUGCGCAGAGCCUUCUCGGAGCCCUCCCACGCCUGCCCGGCGUUGGGCCCCCCGGGCACCCCAUAACCGGGGCGGCUCCGCCGGGACGCAGCCUGAGCGGGCGCCUCCUCCCCCGUUCGGAAACAUCCUGACCCAAAAUGAGGAGCCGCGAUGGAAAAACCUACAUUUCCCUUCCAGGCGGUCUCGCGGGGCAGAAAAUCAUCUCCCACGGUGCCGCCGAGGCACUUGUAUAAUGAGAACUUAAUAAAGUGCCUCCAGUAACGC
rnacentral:lncRNA from 7 species